UUUACAGAAGACACUUAGACAAAUUAAUUUCAUAGAUUACAGGAGACGAGCAAUGAUUCCAACUUAAUUCACCUGCGGCAAUUGACGCCCAAGAUCAAAACAAGCAAAAUGGGAAAUAAUUUUGGUACAUCCAUUUAGCGAAGACACCUGGGUAAAGUUUAGUAAUUUAUCAGAAGACAGAAUUAUUGGCACACACGACGCUACUGCGCAUAUUUACGACACUGCGACAGGUCAGCGGGUACUAACUCUGCACGAUUCCAA